ACAACAAAAGCGCUUUUUAUUACACUGCGAUACAAUACAUCGACUCGCUUCCUAAUGACAAAAUGUCAGUACAUACCUUUACUUUAGUGAUCGGUUAUAAAUAAUCAGAAAGAUGGACUAAAUUGAAGCUAGACAGCAAAGCCGUUGGGAAGGUUGUUAUUCUUGAGCCUUGUAGGCGGCUUGUCCAGUGGGCGGGGCUUGUACUGAUCUUAGCCUGUGAAUGGCCAAUACGUCGUGUCUGCCGUUCCACCAGAUCAACCCUUAACCAAUCAGAGAUAACACGGAACUAAACUAGAGCGAUUAAUCCCGCCCACAGCAACCGCCUUUAAAGUAGAAGGUUAUGGUGUUAUAUAAACAAACCGUUUAACACCGUUAAGAUGAUCUUACAAAACAGUCUUUUGUCAUAUUAUUAACAUUUGGCUACACGUAAAAAAAUGUGCUUACAAUUUAUUAAUCGUGCCACAUAUAAAGUGUCAAAUAUGCAUAAUCAGCGACGUAAAAUACUGGAAUAAAGUUGGCUUGACGUUCGAUAUUCGCGGAUAUGCGGAAAUUAAGGGACCGUCUCUAAAGUUACAGACGACAUUAUUAAACACGUUUCUAACUUCAAUAGCAUUUGAAUGGAAUUACGUAGUCAUAUAACAAACUGGAAAAUGUUCAUCUAGGUGUCAGCUAUAAUGCACAUAAUGCUAUAAUGCUCUUAGAUUUUUGAUAUUUAUCAAAAUAAGCUAUUAAAUCAUAUAUAAAUAUUGCCAUGUAUUUCACUACAGAAUGGGCCCAUACACAAAAUAUGCCAUUAUUUAAAGCUCAAUAGCAUUUGAAGGAAAUGACGUACAGUCACAAAACCAACUGUAAAAUGUUCAUCUAGGUGUCAGGUAUGAUGCACACCUUUCAGAGUUUUGAUAUUUAUCAAAAUAAGCUAUUAAAUCAUGUAAAUUAGACAUGUAUUUCACUACAGAAUACUGGUCACUGGAAGUUCAACAUGGCACCUCAUGGCAAAGAACUCUGAGGAUCUGAAAAAAGAAUUGUUGCUCUACAUAAGGAUGGCCUAGGCUAUAAGAAGAUUGCCAAGACCCUGACACUGAGCUGCAG
ensembl:lncRNA